GGAGUUAGCCGGUGCUUCUUCUGUGAGUGAUGUCCUUCCUGCCGGCUAUUAACCCGCAGGCCUUCUUCCUCACUGAAAGUGCUUUACAACCCGAAGGCCUUCUUCACACACGCGGCAUGGCUGGAUCAGGGUUGCCCCCAUUGUCCAAUAUUCCCCACUGCUGCCUCCCGUAGGAGUCUGGGCCGUGUCUCAGUCCCAGUGUGGCUGAUCAUCCUCUCAGACCAGCUACGGAUCGUCGCCUUGGUGAGCCGUUACCUCACCAACCAGCUAAUCCGACAUAGGCUCAUCCGAUAGCGCGAGGCCCGAAGGUCCCCCGNUUUCCCCCGUAGGGCGUAUGCGGUAUUAGCCUGGGUUUCCCCAGGUUAUCCCCCACUACCGGGCAGAUUCCUAUGCAUUACUCACCCGUCCGCCGCUCGCCACCAGGGAGCAAGCUCCCCGUGCUGCCGCUCGACUUGCAUGUGUUAGGCCUGCCGCCAGCGUUCAUACUGAACCAAGAUACAACUACUGA
rnacentral:rRNA from 1 species